GACGAACGCUGGCGGCGUGCCUAAUACAUGCAAGUCGAGCGGAUGGAUGGGAGCUUGCUCCCUGACAUUAGCGGCGGACGGGUGAGUAACACGUGGGCAACCUGCCCUGCAGAUGGGGAUAACUCCGGGAAACCGGGGCUAAUACCGAAUAAUCAGUCCCUCCGCAUGGAGGGACUCUGAAAGACGGUUUCGGCUGUCACUGCAGGAUGGGCCCGCGGCGCAUUAGCUAGUUGGUGGGGUAACGGCCUACCAAGGCGACGAUGCGUAGCCGACCUGAGAGGGUGAUCGGCCACACUGGGACUGAGACACGGCCCAGACUCCUACGGGUGGCAG
rnacentral:rRNA from 1 species